rnacentral:misc_RNA from 1 species
GAUGAAGAACGUAGCGAAAUGCGAUAAGUAGUGUGAAUUGCAGAAUUCAGUGAAUCAUCGAAUCUUUGAACGCACAUUGCGCCCUUUGGUAUUCCUUAGGGCAUGCCUGUUCGAGCGUCAUUUAAACCUUCAAGCUAAGCUUGGUGUUGGGUGACUGUCCGCUUCACUGCGGACUCGCCUCAAAAUUAUUGGCGGCCGGUACAUUGGCUUCGAGCGCAGCAGAAACGCGAACUCGGGCCCGUCGUAUUGGCUCCCAGAAGCUAUCUUCACAAUUUUGACCUCGGAUCAGGUUGGGAUACCCGCUGAACUUAAGCAUAUCAAUAAGCGGAGGA